GUCUACGGCCAUGCUACCCUGAAAAGCCCGAUCUCAUCUGAUCUCGGAAGCUAAGUAGAGUUGGUUCUGGUUAGUACUUGGAUGGGAGACCACCUAGGAAGACCAGGUGCUGUAGUUG
rnacentral:rRNA from 1 species